rnacentral:lncRNA from 1 species
UGGGAAACCCCAGAAAAGGGCUUAGAGAAGAACUGAACCUGCAAAAGUGAAGAUCGGCGCUUCGGACGGCGGAAUUAGGCGCCAAAAUCGAAGUGCGUUAGAAUAUUCUAGCGCUUCUCUGGUUUUUCUUUUUUCUUAAUACAUCAAAGGAAAACAUAUGUUCAUGAAAUUAUAAUCUCUUAUUCUUACAAACUUUCAGCUUUCCGAGGCUCAUUGUUUAAAGUUCCUAAACAGCUAUUUAUCUAAUUUUUAAGAUUUU